GACGAACGCUGGCGGCGUGCUUAACACGUGCAAGUCGAACGGUAAGGCCCCUUCGGGGGUACACGAGUGGCGAACGGGUGAGUAACACGUGAGCAACCUGCCCUUGACUCUGGAAUAACAGUUGGAAACAGCUGCUAAUACUGGAUAUUCAUCGUCUCCUUCCUGGGGGGUGGUGGAAAGCUCCGGCGGUCAGGGAUGGGCUCGCGGCCUAUCAGCUUGUUGGUGAGGUAAUGGCUCACCAAGGCUUCGACGGGUAGCCGGCCUGAGAGGGCGACCGGCCACACUGGGACUGAGAUACGGCCCAGACUCCUACGGGAGGCAGCAGUGGGGAAUAUUGCACAAUGGGCGCAAGCCUGAUGCAGCAACGCCGCGUGCGGGAUGACGGCCUUCGGGUUGUAAACCGCUUUCAGUAGGGACGAAGGGUGACUGACGGUACCUACAGAAGAAGGACCGGCUAACUACGUG
rnacentral:rRNA from 1 species